CAGCCGCCGCGGUAAUACGAAGGGGGCUAGCGUUGUUCGGAUUUACUGGGCGUAAAGGGCGCGUAGGCGGACUGAUAAGUCAGGGGUGAAAUCCCAAGGCUCAACCUUGGAACUGCCUUUGAUACUGUUUGUCUUGAGUUCGAGAGAGGUAAGUGGAACUGCGAGUGUAGAGGUGAAAUUCGUAGAUAUUCGCAAGAACACCAGUGGCGAAGGCGGCUUACUGGCUCGAAACUGUCGCUGAGGCGCGAAAGCGUGGGGAGCAAACAGGAUUAGAUACCCGGGUAGUCCCUGUCUCUUAUAC
rnacentral:rRNA from 1 species